CCCAUGAUCCCGGAGAUUAAGAGGCGCACACUCUUCGGAUUGAGCCAAGCACGCUCAUAACAAGAAAAUUUUAAAAGACGCCAUCGAUGAAUGCGCCCCUAGGCCUUGUUCCCGGCUCCUCCAACUCUCCUCUUAGUCGUAGGAACACACCUGGCUCUAGAGCCAGGUGUCCGUCUUGGCAUAAAACAAAGGCCCAGGGAAUCUGAGAGUUCACAAGUUUCCCGCCAGGGGAUUGCAGUGGCAAAGCUAGGCUAGGUCUUGGAGGCUGGUGUAAGGCGAAGCGGGUGAAGGCAGGAGGCUGAUGGAGAGACUGGGGGGAAGAAAAGCCGAAAUGGAUUCACGGUGCCUUGGAUGGAGGACGAGAGGGGAACUGCAAGCUCCUUCAACUCGUUCUGUCCGGUGAGAAGUGAUCAAGCUUGGGCUGACAAGAGGCUCAGGAAGCCCUCACGUUCUUUCGCUUUUUUACCUGCCAAUCAAACUGCUACAAGACAACACCCUGAUCUGGCAUGGACAUCGCGGGUCCAAGCCUGUAGUCCCAAAUCGGAUAUCUCUGCAGCUGAUAACAAGCAAAAGAGAAGCCAGGCAACAGCCAUAUUAAAGAAGAAAACAGUCAACUCCGAGGAUGCCACCCUGAAAGUUUUAUUUUCUCCAGGAAGGUACAGUUGUCUUUGAGAAUCCUAGCCUGUGAACACAGUCUGUAAAUGUGAUCAUCAAGCAAGACGGAGCUGCCAAGAGGGAAGAUUUUGAAUGUUUCUCUCUCCUACAACCCUUCCCAGCGCCCCUCUUCCUUCCGGGGGUGCUUCCCUCUGUUUUCCCCUUUCCCCAGCACUGUUGAAAUGGCUCCCAAGCAACACCUCGGUAGCUAAACCAAUUGUCCUGGGAAGUUGUUGAGCUGGCAUUUCAUCUGAGUCCUUUGUAAAAAUUAGAUUUUCUUUGAGUAGGGACGAGUGUCCUUUUGCGAGAGGGGACAAGGGAGAGUCCAAGCAGAGGGGGAGGGGAUGAGCAGUUUAUAUACAUAUAUACUCUUUGUGUUCAAAGGCCUCCGUGUCUUGGCUUCUCACUAUGUUAAAUCCCUAUUAUAAAACUUAUCUUCACAAAGCCUAUUAUAGUAUUCUGAGAACAAAUUGGACCAUGAAUAACUUAGUUGGAAGUGUAGAUUAUUUUCUGCUCAGGGAAAGUUAGAGAUGACAACAGCUUAACUAAAAGAAUAGUGAUUAAUCUUAAAUAGAUGGAUUUCAAAGUUUCACUCUUGCUAAAGAGUACCUUUGAUAUUUCCCCUCUUCAGACUCAUGUUUCCACUUUCUUUGUAUUAAGAAUUGUCCCAGUGAUUACACUGUCCACCUAAGACAGCAUGACUCUAACUGUAGACCUUUUUCUUACAGGUUGUUAAUCUGUCAGAGAGGUGAGCAGAAAGACACUCUACUGUUGAUUAAGUAUAUGGUUCCAAAGUGGUACCUGUGCUGAGACAUCACACUCUCUGUUAGAAAUAAUAUCUGGCAUAAAUCAAAAUUUCUCAAUUAGACAAAAUUAUUUAAAAACUUGUUAAGUUUGUUUAAUGCUCUACAGCUUACAGAACACUUCUUAGUUCGUAAUUGUGUUUGAUCCUUAGAAGACUGUUAUGAUAUAAACAAAUAGCAUUAAUCUCAUUUUGCCAAGGAGUACGCUGAGUCACUUGCAUGCUGUGAUCCAGCUGAUCGCUGGAAGAACUGGGCUACCAACUCAGAUUUUAUAGCUUCUGUUUUAAGUGAUUAACCUAUAGCCAUUGGCAUUUAAAUCCUUUUUGUGUCCUACUCCCUAAAAAUUAAGAUUUUUUUGUAUUAAGGAGCAAAGUUUUUCUAUUUCACAAAUAUAGAAGUUAAAAGACCAGACUGGGAAAAAUUCUAUUCCCUGAAAAGUAAAUGUAUGAAUUAUGGUUUUGCUUUGUGUGUGUGUGCGCGUGCGCAAGCGUGCGUGUAUGUGUGUUUCAAUAGUCUUUCAGAGAUGAAAGUCUUAAUUUCUAAAAGCCAAAAUGGGCAUCCCUAUAUAAAUUAAUAACUGCCUAGAAUUUUUAAAAUGUACUUGAAAACCAUAAAUUGUUUCAAAAUUGAAUGUAAUGACAAAUAAGCCUUUAGAAGCGCAUGAUCUGCCUAUAAAGUACUUGAGAGCAUGGCACUGAUUAAGUUUUAGGGUGCUAUAAGUGAGGUUCCUCCCCACCUUUUUUUUUCAGUUUCAUUGAGAUAAAUUUGACAAAGUAGUAAGACAUUUAAAGUAUAUUUGAUAAACAUAAACAUUUUGUAAGUAUUCCUCCUGUCUGGUUAAUUAACACAUCUAUCACUGUACAUGUUUGCCCCCCCCCUUUUUUUUUGGUGAGAACAUGUAAGUUUUACUCUCUUGACCAAA